UACGUAGGGAGCAAGCGUUAUCCGGAUUUAUUGGGUGUAAAGGGUGCGUAGACGGGAAGUCAAGUUAGUUGUGAAAUCCCUCGGCUCAACUGAGGAACUGCAACUAAAACUAACUUUCUUGAGUGCUGGAGAGGAAAGUGGAAUUCCUAGUGUAGCGGUGAAAUGCGUAGAUAUUAGGAGGAACACCAGUGGCGAAGGCGGCCUGCUGGACCGGAACUGACGCUGAGGCACGAAAGCGUGGGGAGCAAACAGG
rnacentral:rRNA from 1 species